UACGUAGGGUGCAAGCGUUAAUCGGAAUUACUGGGCGUAAAGCGCACGUAGGCGGCUUUCUAAGUCAGGGGUGAAAUCCUGGAGCUCAACUCCAGAACUGCCUUUGAUACUGGAGAGCUUGAGUCCGGGAGAGGUGAGUGGAACUCCGAGUGUAGAGGUGAAAUUCGUAGAUAUUCGGAAGAACACCAGUGGCGAAGGCGGCUCACUGGCCCGGUACUGACGCUGAUGUGCGAAAGCGUGGGGAGCAAACAGG
rnacentral:rRNA from 1 species